ACGCACGCUGGCGGCGUGCUUAACACAUGCAAGUCGAACGGAAAGGCCCUGCUUUUGUGGGGUGCUCGAGUGGCGAACGGGUGAGUAACACGUGAGUAACCUGCCCUUGACUUUGGGAUAACUUCAGGAAACUGGGGCUAAUACCGGAUAGGAGCUCCUGCUGCAUGGUGGGGGUUGGAAAGUUUCGGCGGUUGGGGAUGGACUCGCGGCUUAUCAGCUUGUUGGUGGGGUAGUGGCUUACCAAGGCUUUGACGGGUAGCCGGCCUGAGAGGGUGACCGGCCACAUUGGGACUGAGAUACGGCCCAGACUCCUACGGGAGGCAGCAGUGGGGAAUAUUGCACAAUGGGCGGAAGCCUGAUGCAGCAACGCCGCGUGCGGGAUGACGGCCUUCGGGUUGUAAACCGCUUUCGCCUGUGACGAAGCGUGAGUGACGGUAAUGGGUAAAGAAGCACCGGCUAACUACAUG
rnacentral:rRNA from 1 species